rnacentral:rRNA from 1 species
UGCCAGACUCCUACGGGAGGCAGCAGUGAGGAAUAUUGGUCAAUGGGCGGAAGCCUGAGCCAGCCAAGUCGCGUGAGGGAAGAAGGCCCUGCGGGUCGCAGACCUCUUUGGACGGGGAGCAAGGCCGCCGACGUGUCGGCGGAAGGAGAGUACCCGUAGAACAAGCAUCGGCUAACUCCGUGCCAGCAGCCGCGGUAAUACGGAGGAUGCGAGCGUUAUCCGGAUUUACUGGGUGUAAAGGGGGCGCAGACGGGAGCGCAAGCCAGGAGCGAAAGCCCGGGGCCCAACCCCGGGGCCGCUCUUGGAACUGCGCGGCUGGAGUGCAGGAGGGGCAGGCGGAAUUCCUGGUGUAGCGGUGAAAUGCGUAGAUAUCAGGAGGAACACCGGUGGCGAAGGCGGCCUGCUGGACUGCGACUGACGUUGAGGCCCGAAAGCGUGGGGAGCAAACAGGAUUAGAUACCCUGGUAUC